CCCUUAGAUGUUCUGGGCGGCCCGCGCACUACAUUGGCACUAGCAAAGAGAUCCUAGAUUGACUUCUUUGGGGUAUUCUUCUAAAUGGUGUCGUGACUGGGAUAAAUCCUUGUAAUUAUUGGUUUUGAACGAGGAAUUCCUUGUAAUCGCGGUUUAUCAGCUCGCGUUGAAUGCGUCCCUGCCCUUUGUACACACCGCCCGUCGCUCCUACCGAUGGAUCGUCCGGUGAAGCUCACGGAGUGACUGUUCACGCAACGGUUUACGAAGUGAAAUGGACCUCACGAUUUAGAGGAAGGAGAAGUCGUAACA
rnacentral:rRNA from 1 species